UACAGAGGUGGCAAGCGUUGUUCGGAAUUACUGGGCGUAGAGGGCGCGUAGGCGGCCUUGUAAGUCCUGUGUGAAAUCCCCCGGCUCAACUGGGGAACUGCACAGGAGACUGCUUGGCUUGAGUUCGGGAGAGGGAAGCGGAAUUCCGGGUGUAGCGGUGAAAUGCGUAGAUAUCCGGAGGAACACCGGUGGCGAAGGCGGCUUCCUGGACCGACACUGACGCUGAGGCGCGAAAGCCAGGGGAGCAAACGGG
rnacentral:rRNA from 1 species